rnacentral:rRNA from 1 species
UUCCGGUUGAUCCUGCCGGAGGCUACUGCUAUCGGGGUCCGACUAAGCCAUGCGAGUUGAGAGGGGUAAGCCCUCGGCAUAUUGCUCAGUAACACGCGGAUAACCUGCCCUUGGGUUUGGGAUAACCCCGGGAAACUGGGACUAAUACCGGAUAGAUCAAAGAUACUGGAAUGUUCUUUGUUCGAAAGCUCCGGCGCCCAAGGAUGGGUCUGCGGCCUAUCAGGUAGUAGUGGGUGUAACGUACCUACUAGCCUACGACGGGUAAGGGUUGUGAGAGCAAGAGCCCUGAGAUGGAUUCUGAGACAUGAAUCCAGGCCCUACGGGGUGCAGCAGGCGCGAAAACCUUACACUGCGGGAAACCGCGAUAAGGGGACCCCGAGUGCCAGCACCUAGUGCUGGCUGUCCAGCUGUUCAAAAAACAGUUGUUAGCAAGGGCCGGGCAAGACCGGUGCCAGCCGCCGCGGUAACACCGGCGGCCCGAGUGGUAGCCGUUAUUAUUGGGUUUAAAGGGUCCGUAGCCGGCUUAUUAAGUCUCUUGGGAAAUCUGGCGACUCAAUCGUCAGGCGUUCAAGAGAUACUGGUAGGCUUGGGACCGGGAGAGGUGGGAGGUACUCCAGGGGUAGGGGUGAAAUCUCGUAAUCCUUGGGGGACCACCGAUGGCGAAGGCAUCCCACCAGAACGGGUCCGACGGUGAGGGACGAAAGCUGGGGGCACGAACCGGAUUAGAUACCCGGGUAGUCCCAGCCGUAAACGAUGCUCGCUAGGUGUCAGGUGCGGUGCGACCGCAUUUGGUGCCGUAGUGAAAACUUGAAGCGAGUCACCUGGGAAGUACGGUCGCAAGGCUGAAACUUAAAGGAAUUGGCGGGGGAGCACUACAACGGGUGGAGCCUGCGGUUCAAUUGGAUUCAACGCCGGG